rnacentral:rRNA from 1 species
AGAGUUUGAUCCUGGCUCAGGACGAACGCUGGCGGCGCGCCUAACACAUGCAAGUCGAACGAGAGAUGAGGAGCUUGCUCUUCAAAUCGAGUGGCGAACGGGUGAGUAACGCGUGAGGAACCUGCCUCAAAGAGGGGGACAACAGUUGGAAACGACUGCUAAUACCGCAUAAGCCCACGGCUCGGCAUCGAGCAGAGGGAAAAGGAGCAAUCCGCUUUGAGAUGGCCUCGCGUCCGAUUAGCUAGUUGGUGAGGUAACGGCCCACCAAGGCGACGAUCGGUAGCCGGACUGAGAGGUUGAACGGCCACAUUGGGACUGAGACACGGCCCAGACUCCUACGGGAGGCAGCAGUGGGGAAUAUUGCACAAUGGGGGAAACCCUGAUGCAGCGACGCCGCGUGGAGGAAGAAGGUCUUCGGAUUGUAAACUCCUGUUGUUGAGGAAGAUAAUGACGGUACUCAACAAGGAAGUGACGGCUAACUACGUGCCAGCAGCCGCGGUAAAACGUAGGUCACAAGCGUUGUCCGGAAUUACUGGGUGUAAAGGGAGCGCAGGCGGGAGAACAAGUUGGAAGUGAAAUCCAUGGGCUCAACCCAUGAACUGCUUUCAAAACUGUUUUUCUUGAGUAGUGCAGAGGUAGGCGGAAUUCCCGGUGUAGCGGUGGAAUGCGUAGAUAUCGGGAGGAACACCAGUGGCGAAGGCGGCCUACUGGGCACCAACUGACGCUGAGGCUCGAAAGUGUGGGUAGCAAACAGGAUUAGAUACCCUGGUAGUCCACACCGUAAACGAUGAUUACUAGGUGUUGGAGGAUUGACCCCUUCAGUGCCGCAGUUAACACAAUAAGUAAUCCACCUGGGGAGUACGACCGCAAGGUUG